rnacentral:lncRNA from 1 species
CGGUGGAGGGAACACUCCGAAUGGAGACAGAGUCUCCCACCUUGUUGCCAUGGACAUGGCUGUGCGGCUUACCUGGAGAGGAACGACUCUGGAGGUCCUGUGUCUGGGUUACUCAGGGUACUGAAGCCAAAGAGGGGCAGAGAGUGGGAGACGUGAAGAGAGACAGAGGCAGAGGGAGUGUUGGCUUCUGGGAGGAGGCUCGCUGCCUGAAGGGGGAGGCAUUUCCAAAGGAAAGGAAAGCUCUGGAUCAUCCUGUCACGCUCUGGCAGACUCCAGCUCUCCCCAGCAUUCAUUCAGUCAAGCUCAACUACCUUCCUCAAGGGGACACUUACUGAACACAGGCGCUUGUCCUGUUUUGUAUGUGUGUACGUGAACGUAUACAUGUACGUGUACGUGUAUGUGUACGUGUACAUGUGUAUGUGUGUGUGUGUGUGUGUGUGUGUGUGUGUGUUUGUGUGUGUGUGUGUGUGUGCACGUGUGUAUUUGUGCGUGUGCGCAUUUGUGUGUGUGUGUGUGUUUUUAGUUACCUCAGACUGAGGAUGGACAUGCAAAUAUUACCAAAGAUACAUCUGAGAACUCUCUGAGUUUCGUGAUAAAAAAAAAAACUCUGUUAGGCACAAAGUAAUCCUCUAAUGGUGAAAAAGUGUCUGUAUUUUUGCUGCUCUAAUAUUUUGAAAUAAGCUCUGCUAUGCUUGGCCAGUGUCUCCCUGGCUAUUGUCACCCUAUCUGGUGUGAGUGCACGCCUCGUACUCUUUUGAGGGGAUUUGUAAACUGUGAGGAUUGGCUAUACCCUCCCCACUUUUGGAGUAGUGUUUUCAUAUGAAAGCUAUUGCACAAAUUAUGUGUUGGAACCGUAGCCAAAGCACCUAAUCCUGCGAUAAAGGAGUUGUAACUGGUCUUCCUGUUAUUUCAAUGUCUCAUUAAUUUCUGCAUUGCCACCACAAGAGGGCAGUGUUGUAUCCACCAGAGCCAAAUGUAGUAAUCCUGGACAAAUGGAUGUCUGAAGACUUUUAUUGUUUUUGGGGGAGAGAGCGAGAGAAGAAAUGUGGAACAGUUAGGAUAAGAUUAAGUUGUCUGAGUAGAGUAAUUUGAUGCUGAGAACAAAUAAAUGAAUCAACUUUGAUCA